AAGAUUAAGCCAUGCAUGUCUAAGUAUAAACAUUUGUACUGUGAAACUGCGGACGGCUCAUUAAAUCAGUUAUAGUUUAUUUGAUAGUAACUACUACUUGGAUAACCGUGGUAAUUCUAGAGCUAAUACAUGCACUGAAAUCCCGACUUCUGGAAGGGAUGUAUUUAUUAGAUAAAAAACCAACCCGGGCAACCGGUUCUUUGGUGAUUCAUAAUAACUUUUCGAAUCGCAU
rnacentral:rRNA from 1 species